rnacentral:tRNA from 1 species
UAUUAAGUGGCCGAAUUUUAAGCACUAGACUUUUAAUCUAGAAAAUGAUUUCCUUCAAUCCUUAAUAU